ensembl:lncRNA
GAGCGCGGCCCCGGGCCCAUAGACUGAGGGGGAAUCAAGUGGCUGAUCAGAGGGGGAUUGCAGGGAUUUUAUUUUCUCUAUGCACAGAAGCCCCAAGCCAACAACCUGGAGAACCUGAACGUCCUAGGCAACAACCUGGUAAACCUCAGGGACCUCGAUUUCAUCGAUUUCAUGGAUUUCGUCGACCUCAGGGACCGCCUAGACAAUCUCGUGGACCUGAGGGCCAAAAACGACGUGGAAGAGGUCAGAAAAGGGUCCCAAACCCUCAGGAAAGGAGGAGAAAUGGCCCAUUUCCCAUUAGAGGGUAUCUUCAUGAUCACGGAAAUGGGGCUGAAUAAGAAGAUAGAUAUGAGGCUGGCAUCAUGAAAAUUCUUCAGUAACCUAGGAUGAUAGGGAAGUGAAAACAUCUUGACUCCCCUCAUUCCUGUAUUUAAAACACAAAUAAACUAAUCAGCAUCCAAGCUUUGCUUCGUCUU